CAUUGUGGUUUUAGCGAAGUGGUAAUACCCAGUCCCAUUUCGAACCUGGAAGUCAAGCACUUCUGCGCUGAUAAUACUGCUACUUUCAGUAGUGGAAAUGUAAGUCGCUGCAAGCU
rnacentral:rRNA from 1 species